AUUGAACGCUGGCGGCAGGCCUAACACAUGCAAGUCGAGCGAGCGGCGGACGGGUGAGUAAUGUCUGGGAAACUGCCUGAUGGAGGGGGAUAACUACUGGAAACGGUAGCUAAUACCGCAUACUAUCAGAUGUGCCCAUCUGGGAUUAGCUGGUAGGUGGGGUAAUGGCUCACCUAGGCGACGAUCCCUAGCUGGUCUGAGAGGAUGAUCAGCCAAAAUGGAACUGAGACACGGUCCAGAAGCCUACGGGAGGGAGCAGUGGGGAAUAUUGCACAAUGGGCGCAAGCCUGAUGCAGCCAUGACGCGUGUAUGAAGAAGGCCUUCGGGUUGUAAAGCACUUACAGCGGGGAGGCGUUACCCGCAGAAGAAGCACCGGCUAACUCCGUGCCAGCCGCCGCGGUAAUUC
rnacentral:rRNA from 1 species